AUCAGGUGGAAAAUAGAAAUUCAGAAAUAGACAGAGAAAGAAGGGAAAUUAAGGAAAAAAAUUUUCUUUUCUCUUGAAGUUUAAGAUUAACUUGUGUUCAGUUUUCUUAUUAAUUAUAAACAAUUAACUAGUCAUUCUUGAUUUUUUUUGUGUAACUAAUUGUUAUUAGCAAUUUUCGCCAAUAUUAAGUGAUUACUAAAGUUGAUUUUCUACAAUUGGAACAAUUAAUUUAAAUAAACGAUGGACAAUUAAUUGUGUUUCUAUAUUUCAUAAUUGGAGCCAAUGAUUAAUAUGGAGAACCUGUUGAUUUGGUCAAGAUUAAUGGAUCAAUUUCUACACUUUUGUUUUAUCGCAAACGGUGACAAUCGGUGAUGGAAAAAUUACCUUUGAAACUGGAGAAACUUUGAGCUCGUGGUUAUAUUUGAACGCUUUCACUUUGCUGCUAUUUAAAUAGAGAGAUAAUUUGAUGAAACUUUUAUUGAAAUUCCAAAUUGAACUUUGAUGAUUCUCUGUUGAAACUUUACUUCACAAUGGUAACAAUGAACAAUUUACAAAGAGACUAUACCUUUGGAUAUGGAUUAGAAUCAGUUUGAAAGAAACACGUACAAUGUCAAUUUGAUGGCUUAAAAGGCAACACGAUACAAGGAUAAGGAUGUGACAAAAAUAAUUCACUUUAAUUCUGAGCAAACGCUGAAAAAGUUAAUCCAAAAGCUAGAAAAAAGUUACAUUCACCUAGAUGGAUUUACCAAAGAUCGAAUCUUUUGUUCCAAUCAAGCUGAUCGAGGAUUGGAAUCGAUUAAAAGCCGUCGCUGGAUUAUUUUGUAAUCCCCUUAAAUUAGGGUCGCGAAAAGAGAGUAAAGAAAGAGAAGAUAUCUUGAGCUAGGAAAUGGUUCCAUUGGUCAUUAUAAUACUCGAAGAAGAAAAAAAGAGAGAGAGAGAGAGAGAGAGAGAGAGAGAGAGAGAAUAAAAGUGAGAGAGCAUUGGGAGUGAAACUCCAUAAAGACACAUUGAUAAAGUCCAUUUGGAAGGUUGGUCUUGAAAGAAGGUCACAUGAAGACAACCAACAGUUAAAGAUGCGAUUGAAACAACGUGACACUUUUCAUUCCCAUUUAAUGAAAUUGUCACGUUACAGUAAAUUGUGAUCAUAUUUACAUUCAUAUACUUGACCCACUACAUAUCAUUAGAGGAUGAAGAAAAGUCAAUAAUCAUCAUAAAUCCUCUAAUUAUAACUGGAUCAGUGUAAUUCUGUGUUUAUAGCGUAACAGAUUAAGUGGAUUACAAAGACAUUGAAGAAAAUGAAGAAAUAACAAUUUUCCUCUUGACCAUCGACCAUCAAAUUGAACCGAUGAUUAGCCAAUUGUAAACAUACGUCCAUUCGAAUGUGAUUGUUUUCUAAUUCGAUUCAUAUAACAUGUUCAGUCGCAUGUUCUGGUUGGGUGACCCAUCAACAGGUAACCUUAUAUAUUGAAGAUAUUUAUUCAAUAACUAAGUAAACAACUGACCACAUUGAUUGAUCACCUUUUCCAACAUUACUCAUGACAUUAGCUACAUGCUUUUAUUUAGCAAAGGAAAAUCAAUAAGAGUUAUUCAAUCUACUUAAUAAUCACCACAAGGAAUAUAAUCAUUGCAUAAUAAUUUAAUCGGUUAAUUGUUUUAAUUCAACGAACAAUUUUGUAUGAGUUGAAUUUCAAUUACAAAGUAAAAAUGAUAAUUUAUUGUAUUGGAAUUCAUGGAGAUCAAUGAACUGUGGUUAUAAAUUUCCAAGUUUUCGUUGGACGAAUAAAUUUAUCAUAUCGAAAGCAACUUUGGGCUGAUCGGUCGGGACCAUAUGACCAGCAUUACGA